UGGUCCUUGAUGUGUAGGAUAGGUGGGAGGCUUUGAAGUGUGGACGCCAGUCUGCAUGGAGCCAUCCUUGAAAUACCACCCUUUAAUGGCUGGUGUUCUAACGUAGACCCGUAAUCCGGGUUGCGGACAGUGUCUGGUGGGUAGUUUGACUGGGGCGGUCUCCUCCUAAAGAGUAACGGAGGAGCACGAAGGUUGGCUAAUCCUGGUCGGACAUCAGGAGGUUAGUGCAAUGGCAUAAGCCAGCUUGACUGCGAGCGUGACGGCGCGAGCAGGUGCGAAAGCAGGUCAUAGUGAUCCGGUGGUUCUGAAUGGAAGGGCCAUCGCUCAACGGAUAAAAGGUACUCCGGGGAUAACAGGCUGAUACCGCCCAAGAGUUCAUAUCGACGGCGGUGUUUGGCACCUCGAUGUCGGCUCAUCACAUCCUGGGGCUGAAGUAGGUCCCAAGGGUAUGGCUGUUCGCCAUUUAAAGUGGUACGCGAGCUGGGUUUAGAACGUCGUGAGACAGUUCGGUCCCUAUCUGCCGUGGGCGCUGGAGAACUGAGGGGGGCUGCUCCUAGUACGAGAGGACCGGAGUGGACGCAUCACUGGUGUUCGGGUUGUCAUGCCAAUGGCACUGCCCGGUAGCUAAAUGCGGAAGAGAUAAGUGCUGAAAGCAUCUAAGCACGAAACUUGCCCCGAGAUGAGUUCUCCCUGAGACUUAGAGUCUCCUGAAGGAACGUUGAAGACGACGACGUUGAUAGGCCGGGUGUGUAAGCGCAGCGAUGCGUUGAGCUAACCGGUACUAAUGAACCGUGAGGCUUAACC
rnacentral:rRNA from 2 species